UCGAGAAUCUUCGGCAAUGGGCGCAAGCCUGACCGAGCGACACCGCGUGCGGGAUGAAGGCCUUCGGGUUGUAAACCGCUGUCGUAGGGGAGGAAGGGUCCGUGAAGAACGGAACUUGACCGAUCCUAGGAGGAAGGGCCGGCUAAUCUCGUGCCAGCAGCCGCGGUAAUACGAGAGGCCCAAACGUUAUUCGGAUUUACUGGGCUUAAAGAGUUCGUAGGCGGCUUGGAAAGUGGGGUGUGAAAGCCCUCGGCUCAACCGAGGAAUUGCGCUCCAAACUACCGAGCUUGAGUAGGCUAGAGGUGAGCAGAACUGAUGGUGGAGCGGUGAAAUGCGUUGAUAUCAUCAGGAAUACCGGAGGCGAAGGCGGCUCACUGGGACCUAACUGACGCUGAGGAACGAAAGCUAGGGGAGCAAACGGGAUUAGAUACCCCGGUAGUCCUAGCCGUAAACGGUGAGCACUGGACCGGGGGCCUGCACAGGCCCUCGGUCCGUAGCGAAAGUGUUAAGUGCUCCGCCG
rnacentral:rRNA from 1 species